AUGCACUAUAUAGGCGGGAAAGUGACCGUAUAUAUAAAAGUGACCGCGGCCACGCCCUCCUCUACCGACGAUCAUCGUUCAAGAGGAUGCCUGGUGGUACUUGGUGCGCUGCGCCCAGUUGUCACAACUCUCGAACUAAAGAUGUAAGAAGUGUGUGCAGAACUGCCGGCGAAGAGAUCUGCUGGGCCAGCCGGCAUCGUAUUUGCAUGCAAACUGUGCUCUCUGCUUUGACCAUUUUGAAUAAAUACCAGUUCAUGACUCCCUUGAACAAGCACUGCCAGAUGAUCUGCAUGGUGUGCAGUUCCAACCAUCUUUGAUGUACGGAAUCCACCAGUUCCUGCUAACUGUAAAAUGAAAACUACCACUAUGAAAUGAUUACCAUUGCCGAACCGUUCUGUAAUAUGAGGAAAAGGAGGGUAUAUAUGGAGAUAAUCCAAGUCCCUGGCAGUUUCAGUUAUUUCUGCGCUAGAUGAUGGUGGAUGGUCUCAUCAUGCUGAGUGCAAGGAGCAACUAACUCAAAGAUGGAGAUCACUUUCUCCUGAUGCUCAAUAACAUCAUGCAGCACUCAGCACACUCCAGGUAUUUUUGAUGCAAGAUGCAAGCAAAUUGAAAGUUGUGAAAACCAGGCAGUCUUGUAGCUUUGUUUUUAAAUAUAUGGCUGCAUUUUUAUUGAAAGAAAACAAUGGACAUUUGUCUGAAGCGUCGGCAUGGAAAAUCCAAAAUGUUAAAAUUGUAACAUCUGUAUAUAUAGAUGUACAUAAUUUAUAUUUUUUGCAAAAGAACUGGGUAUAAAGAGGUCUUAGAUAUGUAACAAUCAUAAUCUCUUUGAAAAAAUUUUCAUUAGAGUUAAACUGCUAAUGUGUACUCGAAACGUGUUUUUUUCUAAAUUAUAGAAGUUGCCCCAUUGAA